rnacentral:rRNA from 1 species
GAUGAACGCUGGCGGCGUGCCUAAUACAUGCAAGUCGAGCGAACAGACGAGGAGCUUGCUCCUCUGACGUUAGCGGCGGACGGGUGAGUAACACGUGGAUAACCUACCUAUAAGACUGGGAUAACUUCGGGAAACCGGAGCUAAUACCGGAUAAUAUAUUGAACCGCAUGGUUCAAUAGUGAAAGACGGUUUUGCUGUCACUUAUAGAUGGAUCCGCGCCGCAUUAGUUAGUUGGUAAGGUAACGGCUUACCAAGGCAACGAUGCGUAGCCGACCUGAGAGGGUGAUCGGCCACACUGGAACUGAGACACGGUCCAGACUCCUACGGGAGGCAGCAGUAGGGAAUCUUCCGCAAUGGGCGAGAGCUUGACGGAGCAACGCCGCGUGAGUGAUGAAGGUCUUCGGAUCGGAAAACUCUGUUAUUAGUGAAGAACAAAUGUGUAAGUAACUAUGCACGUCUUGACGGUACCUAAUCAGAAAGCCACGGCUAACUACGUG